CUCCUGAAUAUAUAAGCCGAGAUCAAAUAAAUCUAUGGAACAUCACCAGGGCUCCAUGCUGAAAAUGCCACAGGACCAAGGAUAGAGCCUUGUGGGACACCGUCUGGACCUGUCUGAGCACUGUCACGGCUGUUUGCUAGCUCCCUGCAGGCAUGUUGGUGCUUGGAUGAAUGAGGGAAAAGCAUGUCCAGUGCCGGCAACCAGAGCAAACUCAGAACUGGAAGAGGG